rnacentral:rRNA from 1 species
CGAAGGGGGCGAGCGUUGUUCGGAAUUACUGGGCGUAAAGGGCGCGUAGGCGGCCCGCUAAGUCGAACGUGAAAUCCCCGAGCUCAACUCGGGAACUGCGUCCGAUACUGGCGGGCUUGAAUCCGGGAGAGGGAUGCGGAAUUCCAGGUGUAGCGGUGAAAUGCGUAGAUAUCUGGAGGAACACCGGUGGCGAAGGCGGCAUCCUGGACCGGCAUUGACGCUGAGGCGCGAAAGCUAGGGGAGCAAACGGGAUUAGAUACCCCGGUAGUCCUAGCCCUAAACGAUGAAUGCUUGGUGUGGCGGGUAUCGAUCCCUGCCGUGCCGAAGCUAACGCAUUAAGCAUUCCGCCUGGGGAGUACGGUCGCAAGGCUG